GGUGAACGCUGGCGGCGUGGAUGAGGCAUGCAAGUCGAAUGGGUUUAGACCCAUGGCAGACGAGGUAGGAACACGUAGGUACAUACCCCAAAGUCAGGGAUAAUCCGUCGAAAGGCGGGAUAAUACCUGAUAGUCUCUUCGGAGUAAAGAUUUAUCGCUUUGGGAAUGGCCUGCGGGCUAUCAGCUUGUAGGUAGUGUAACGGACUACCUAGGCUACGACGGCUAGGGGAGGUGAGAGCCUGACCCCCACCGAUGGAACUGCGACACGGUCCAUACUCCUACGGGAGGCCGCAGUCGAGAAUCUUCCGCAAUGGACGAAAGUCUGACGGAGCGACGCCGCGUGGUGGAUGAAGCCUUUAGGGGCGUAAACACCUUUUAUGAGGGAGGAAAUUAUUGACGUUACCUCAUGAAUAAGGGGCUCCCAAUUCUG
rnacentral:rRNA from 1 species